rnacentral:rRNA from 1 species
CUGGCGGCACGCCUAACACAUGCAAGUCGAGCGAGGUAGCAAUACCUAGCGGCAGACGGGUGCGUAACAUGUGGGAAUCUGCCUUUUGGUUCGGAACAACACGGGGAAACCUGUGCUAAUACCGGAUAAGUCCUUACGGAGAAAGUUUUAAUGCCAAAAGAUGAGCCCGCAUUUGAUUAGCUAGUUGGUGAGGUAAAAGCUCACCAAGGCGACGAUCAGUAGCUGUUCUUAGAGGAAGACCAGCCACAUUGGGACUGAGACACGGCCCAGACUCC